UACGGAGGUCCCGAGCGUUGUUCGGAAUUACUGGGCGUAAAGGGAGCGCAGGCGGACGGGUCAGUCUGAAGUGGAAAUCCGGGGCUCAACCUCGGACUUGCUUCGGAUACUGCCCGUCUUGAGUUCGUGAGAGGAAGAUGGAAUUCAGGGUGUAGCGGUGAAAUGCUCAGAUAUCCUGAGGAACACCAGUGGCGAAAGCGGUCUUCUGGCACGAAACUGACGCUGAGGCUCGAAAGCGUGGGUAGCAAACAGGAUUAGAUACCCUGGUAGUCCACGCCGUAAACGUUGUGUGCUAGGUGCGGGAGGUAUCGACCCCUUCCGUGCCGCAGUUAACGCAUUAAGCACACCGCCUGGGGAGUACGCCCGCAAGGGUGAA
rnacentral:rRNA from 1 species